rnacentral:rRNA from 1 species
CCUACGGGAGGCAGCAGUGGGGAAUUUUUGGCAAUGGGCAAAAGCCUGACCAAGCAACGCCGCGUGGGUGAUGAAGUAUCUUGGUACGUAAAACCCUUUCGGCAGGAACGAACACAAUGACGGUACCUGCGGAAGAAGCCCCGGCUAACUCCGUGCCAGCAGCCGCGGUAAU